AGAGUUUGAUCCUGGCUCAGGAUGAACGCUGGCGGCGUGCCUAAUACAUGCAAGUCGAGCGAACGGACGAGAAGCUUGCUUCUCUGAUGUUAGCGGCGGACGGGUGAGUAACACGUGGAUAACCUACCUAUAAGACUGGGAUAACUUCGGGAAACCGGAGCUAAUACCGGAUAAUAUUUUGAACCGCAUGGUUCAAAAGUGAAAGACGGUCUUGCUGUCACUUAUAGAUGGAUCCGCGCUGCAUUAGCUAGUUGGUAAGGUAACGGCUUACCAAGGCAACGAUGCAUAGCCGACCUGAGAGGGUGAUCGGCCACACUGGAACUGAGACACGGUCCAGACUCCUACGGGAGGCAGCAGUAGGGAAUCUUCCGCAAUGGGCGAAAGCCUGACGGAGCAACGCCGCGUGAGUGAUGAAGGUCUUCGGAUCGUAAAACUCUGUUAUUAGGGAAGAACAUAUGUGUAAGUAACUGUGCACAUCUUGACGGUACCUAAUCAGAAAGCCACGGCUAACUACGUGCCAGCAGCCGCGGUAAUACGUAGGUGGCAAGCGUUAUCCGGAAUUAUUGGGCGUAAAGCGCGCGUAGGCGGUUUUUUAAGUCUGAUGUGAAAGCCCACGGCUCAACCGUGGAGGGUCAUUGGAAACUGGAAAACUUGAGUGCAGAAGAGGAAAGUGGAAUUCCAUGUGUAGCGGUGAAAUGCGCAGAGAUAUGGAGGAACACCAGUGGCGAAGGCGACUUUCUGGUCUGUAACUGACGCUGAUGUGCGAAAGCGUGGGGAUCAAACAGGAUUAGAUACCCUGGUAGUCCACGCCGUAAACGAUGAGUGCUAAGUGUUAGGGGGUUUCCGCCCCUUAGUGCUGCAGCUAACGCAUUAAGCACUCCGCCUGGGGAGUACGACCGCAAGGUUGAAACUCAAAGGAAUUGACGGGGACCCGCACAAGCGGUGGAGCAUGUGGUUUAAUUCGAAGCAACGCGAAGAACCUUACCAAAUCUUGACAUCCUUUGACAACUCUAGAGAUAGAGCCUUCCCCUUCGGGGGACAAAGUGACAGGUGGUGCAUGGUUGUCGUCAGCUCGUGUCGUGAGAUGUUGGGUUAAGUCCCGCAACGAGCGCAACCCUUAAGCUUAGUUGCCAUCAUUAAGUUGGGCACUCUAAGUUGACUGCCGGUGACAAACCGGAGGAAGGUGGGGAUGACGUCAAAUCAUCAUGCCCCUUAUGAUUUGGGCUACACACGUGCUACAAUGGACAAUACAAAGGGCAGCGAAACCGCGAGGUCAAGCAAAUCCCAUAAAGUUGUUCUCAGUUCGGAUUGUAGUCUGCAACUCGACUACAUGAAGCUGGAAUCGCUAGUAAUCGUAGAUCAGCAUGCUACGGUGAAUACGUUCCCGGGUCUUGUACACACCGCCCGUCACACCACGAGAGUUUGUAACACCCGAAGCCGGUGGAGUAACCUUUUAAGAGCUAGCCGUCGAAGGUGGGACAAAUGAUUGGGGUGAAGUCGUAACAAGGUAGCCGUAUCGGAAGGUGCGGCUGGAUCACCU
rnacentral:rRNA from 2 species